rnacentral:lncRNA from 1 species
GUUUUGGGGAAAGGAUAAUGAAUUUCUUUUUGGACCCAUCAAGUCUAAGACUGUAUGAUUUCAUGAGUCUAUGUCAUUGCUCUAUGGGCUCUCAUCUUUUUCCUUUUUAAAACCAAGGUAAUCAUCGCUGCUCUACCUGCCUCACUGGGAUGUUGUAAGGAUCAGAGGAGAUUAUUUUUGCUUCAAGUCGUCAAUGGAGCUGUGAUCUCACAGAUAUCUUUUUGGGCACUCCCUUCAGACAUACCAUGAGGAAUAAGGGUGGCCACUCCUACUCCAAGUAUCAGAGAGAAGAACACUGCAAGUUUGGAGAAGUUACCCUAGGAACAGAGAAGAACCUCAACAGAUAUAUAAGUCUUCUUGUAUGGCUUCAAGUGACAGAAUGCUGCAGUCUCUGAAGAAUUAAAAUUGUGUGUCAUCUAAAGGGCAGUGAAGAAGUGCAUGGUGGACACAAACUGUCUAUAAUACAUUGUAAAAAAAGGAAUUAUGCAGAAGAAGCAGUGUGAUGAAUGUCAUCAAAGAAAUGGAUGAUUGAAAAAGAAGUUGGGCCAGUCUCAUGGGGAGAGUGAGAGAUGACUGACUGAUGGAUAGCUCUUGUGCUCCAUAAAAGUCUUUCUCCCUCUGUAUGCAGGGUCCAGUGCCAAAGCUGAGGAAGGUGACUGAUCCCAAUUUGUUAUGCAGUUGUCAUUCAUUGCUUAAUUAAUAAAAAUGCUCAGAUGCUCGAACUUU